rnacentral:rRNA from 1 species
UACAGAGGGUGCGAGCGUUAAUCGGAAUUACUGGGCGUAAAGCGUGCGUAGACGGUAGCGUAAGUCAGAUGUGAAAGCCCCGGGCUCAACCUGGGAAUUGCAUUUGAGACUGCUCUGCUCGGGUGCGUAAGAGGGAAGCGGAAUUUCCGGUGUAGCGGUGAAAUGCGUAGAUAUCGGAAGGAACACCUGUGGUGUAGACAGCUUACUGGACCACUUCUGACGCUGAGACACGAAAGCGUGGGUAGCAAACAGG